GGGUGAUUCCUGGAACAGCAGCAGCAUUGGCUUCACCUGGGAAAUUAUUAGAAAUGAAGGGUCCGGGGCCAUCCCAAGACCCCUGCAUUAGCACCUGUAUUUUAAGGGCCUUCCUCAGGUGAUCCCUUGGCAACUGGGCACGAGAGCGCUGGCGUCGGAUGCGGUUGCUCUUGGCCCUCAAGGUCAAGGCCGGACUUUUCCUUUAUGUCUGUCUGGGUCUCACCAGAGAGCCCUGCGGGGAGGAGUAGAAGCUGAAAUCCUUUGAUACUGGAAUCUAUAUGUUCGUCAUUUGGAACAUACAGGAAAACAUGAAGAAGAAAAGAAAAUGACCCAUAAUGAUGAUCACUGGUGUGAAGUUCUCCCUGUCUCUGUGUGUGUGUGUGUGUGUGUGUAUUCAGAGACAGAGUCUCACUCUCACUCUGUCACCCAGGCUGUAGUGCAUGGUGCAGUCGUGGCUCACUGCAGCCUCAAACUCCUGGGCUCAAGGGAUCCUCCUGCUUCAGCCACCUGAGUAGCUAGGAUUACAGGUGUGCAACACCAUGUUGCCCAGUCUGGUCUUGAACUCCUGGGCUCAAGCGAUCCUUCUGCUUCAGUCUCCAGAGUCACUGGGAUUACAGGUAUGAGUCACUGAACCUGGCUACAUUUUUAAAAAGUUUCUUUGCUUUAUUAAAUUCCUCUUCAAGGCUUAACAGAGCAAUGGAAGCUCAUGAUAAUCAGGGAAACAAGAAGAAAAGACAAUCACUCAGGCUCCUUUCUUGGUGGGGAGUGGAGAGGCUGGGAAACACAAUGACAGUGAACCAUAGGAAGCAGGGGGCAUGGCCACUGGAUCUGAAAGGGACCAGCUAACGGUCACUAAAUGUCCAAGGCCUGGGCUUGCGCCAUAGCCUCAGGUAUCUCCAUCACUUCCACAGCACUCAUUCGUUCAGUGAGAUGUCAUUUAUUAAGCAGUUACAAUGCUGCAGGUGCUGUGCAAGAGACUGGACAUACAAAAGAAGAAUUUGACCUGGACCUUCCCCCUCUGGGGUCUCAUAAUCUUGUAAGGGGAAGGGAAUACAAAUACAAAUUAGCAAAGAAUGGUAGCAGUAUCUUAGGACACUGUAGCUGUGUGCUACAGGGCCCAAGGACUGGAGAGCCAUCCCUUCGUGAAGGUCAGGGAAGAGCUAGGUGGUGGAGAGAGCUGAGCCUGUGUGGACCCCUGAUGCAUGCUCUGAUGCUGAGGGAGUACAGUAGAGAUGGACACAGAUAGUGACAGAAGAGUCUGGCCCCAAAGCAGAAGCAGCAUCCUGCACCGACUCUCCUUAGAAUGAAUGAGACGCACAAGAAAACGACCACAGGCAUCGCCGCCCUUCAGUGGAUCUCUUUGCUGGAGAAUUGACAGAGUGCGUGCCGCGCCUGAGUGAGCCGGUAAAUUCUCUCCUUAAGGAUUCUUCUCUUGGUGGCAGUCUCACUCUGCUCUUGAAGCAGCCAGGAAUAGCGACUUUUUUCCUGUAGUAUCUGCAUCAUGGCUUUCUGCAAGCAGUCACCAUUCUCUCGGAGCAUAAAAUACUGAAUUAUAAAUGGGAUCUGGUUGGCGAGACGUUUGCUGGUCUCCUGGAAGAGGGAGAAAGAAGGGUUUGCUGGAGUGGUCUCAGCCCAAGGCCUCUGGUUGCAGAGAGAAGUCAUGGAGUUCUUGGGUGCGCACACGGUCGCCCUGUGAAGCCCUGGUGGCCUCGCCCAACUCCACUCCAGUGGUCAGCAUCAAGCCCCAUGAAGGUCCUAUUUGCAGUGACCCCUCUUUACUUCCAGGCAUCCCCUCUAGCACUAAGAAGCCCCCUGGUAGGCUAGCAAGCCCGUAUCACCUCUGGGCAUCCCCACAGCUCCUCCCUGCUGGAGAAAGUCCCCCCGCCAGCCCAGGACUCCCCUGGCUCCCUUCUGGGUGUGCACCAGGGCCGUUUUGAAUCCUCCCCUCAUUCCAUCUUCAUAGGCACAGCCAGUGUGCCUGGCAGCCAGGUGCCCAUGGCAGGGAAACCACUCUAUUCUGAGUGUGAAAGGGCUUCGGGAGGUGGGUGUCUUUGCAGUUUAAAAGCUAUUUUUUCUUCCUGGGCACAGUGCUACUUGCAUAUUGGAUAGACAGUCAGAGGCCAAAAAGUUCACUGGGUCACAAAAUCUAGGGAAAGGCAAUUUCAUUCCUAUCCUGUGGAGCUGGCAAGUGUGGCAUGUUAGUGCCUUCCGAACACCAAGGAAAGCUGGCUUAUAGUCACUGUCGUUGACGCUUGUUGUAUUUUGCUGUAUUCUAAUCACAGUAAUUUUGUAAUUCAUGGACUGCAUAUGAAAUAUAAGGAAUUUUGGAGUCGGAAGUAAUUUUGAGUACACGCUCUGCCACUUUAAAAAUUGAUUGAUUGUGGGCAAAUUAAUUAAAAAUGCCUUCACAGGGUUCAUGUAAAAUUAUAAAUGAGAAAAUAUAUAAGUAGUUUAUCAUAGUACAAAAGGGCUUAAUACAUUGUAGUUGUCCCUCCCUCCUUCCCUCAGCAAAGCCUCUCUAGGUUAGCAUAGCCCCUACUCAGCUCUGCAAAUGCCAGAGACCACGGCUCCUGCCCCUCCGGGAACUCACCGAGAAGUAGGCAUUCAGGUGGAUGCCUAUUUCAGUAAAGGAGGAAACUGAAGACUCAUUACUGGGAAAAUGAGAGUUCAACUUCGUAUUCUGUAAAGGCUUCCCCAGAGGGUUAAAAAUCUCUUCUCGGACUUUCUUCAGAACAACACUGUAAAUCUGAUCUUGACAAAAAACCAUCUGCUCCAUUCUGAACUGAAGUUGGAUCAUGUUUUCUGCCUUUUCUAUGUAUUUCACUUUUAUGUCUUCAAUCUUGCUCUGGUUAGAUAAGAAAGACAAACACAUUACUUCUUUUUCUUCUUUCCUGUUGGCUUAAACAAAUUCGGAAGUACUAUUUGAACUCAGAAAUAAAAUGAAUCCGAGGUCAAAGAA